CCCAUACCAGGCAGGGUCUGAGCCGAACCCUCAGGAGAGGCACAAGGAGUCCUGUGCAGAGCUCCAGGGAGCAGAUGGCCCCCCGAGGAGACUCUAGGGGCCUGGAGCCCAGACCUGGCCGGACAGAUGGACAGACGGACACACACACAGAGGACUGAAGAACUCCCCAUGUGGCGGCUGUACAGUUGUGUGCAUCCCAGAUUUUGUACCUGUGCUCCAGCCCACCCUGUCUCACCUCAGUGUGCUCCCCUGCCCUGCCUGACCUUCCGGAAUCAGCCCCCGGCACUCCCACCUGCCUGUCAUUGACCGGAGGACUGACAGGGGAAGUCACGUUGCAGGAGCAGAUUCACUUCCCUUUCAGUGAUGGAAUAAAAACAAGAUUCCUGGUGACAAACACUUAGGGUCCUGAUGGAGUUGGAAUUCAGAGCCCUCUGGUCAUCUUCCCUGGACAUUUCUCCCCCUCUGGGAAUAUGGACCAAAAUUCCUUUUGGGGUGCAGAAGGUGGAGGGUCUGGCAUCUUACCUGAGCAUGUGUUGACGGCAAGAAAUACAUUCUUCAUUGGAAGUCCAUGCCAGAGCGGAUCUCCUGGACAACUGUUUUCUAGAAUGUUCCCUGGGCCUCCCUGUGAGCAGGAAGCUCUGCUGCCCUGAGAGGCCAGGACAGGGUGGAGAAGAAAAAAGGCAUUUGUUCAUGUCACCCCCCGCCCCAGGUGAGCUCAGAGCUGGCUUCUCUGUCCUGGGAGCUGUGCUUUCACAGAUUGGUGACUUUGCAGGGCCAACCACAGAAACACCUGGUGACAUACACACCCCAUGACAUACCACCAGUGACCACCUGGGGACUCCAUCUCCCCAGUCCUGCUUCCUAUGGAAACAUCCAGAAGGAAGGGGGAUGGAGCACAGAACAGAGCACUCACUGUGUGCUGCUCCGCAGACCUGGCCCAGAAUGCCCCCACCAACCCUGCUCUGGCUGAGGCAAGAAGCCGGAGCUGCUGGGGUGCCCGGGGGUGAUUCAUUUUCCAGAGUCCCCGGCGGACCUUGGCAGGCAAGAUUAUGGUCGAUCGGUAAGGGAAAGGUUACCUCCAGCAGCUGUAAAACACCACCAGUGUGGCCACAGGAAUCUGCAGUGAAGCUCAGAUAAGUGGACUCUGGCUCCAUCUGUCAUUUAUCUGAGCCAUUUCUUGAUGACAUUGCAGACAUAAUUGAAUUUUCGAGAAAACCAUGAAUUCAGAUGAGACGACAGUGGUGGUGAUGGUGUGAUGAAGGGAUUGUUCCUUGCUGCUCCUGAAUCACUGGCCACCUGGAACCCGUCCUCGGCUCCUCACAGAGGGAGGCGCUGAAAUCUGGUUAUAUUUGAGGAGAUGAAAGGGGACAGAUCUUAAAAGGCAGCAAAGCAAAUUAAGCAGCUUUGUGAGGGACAGUGUGGCUCCUGACGAAGGGCAUUUGACAUCACUAUCCGUACUUCUGCUGCUUCCAAGAGUCUCUCUCACAUUGGGCCUCUCAGCACGUCCCCUCCACCCUUCACAGUGACAGUGGGAAGAACAUUAGAUGAGAUCCAAAUGCAUCUCAUACCCAGUCGCUCCGUCUCUCGAUCUAACUGAAUUUUCUGCUUUAGGGGACCAGCCCCUUCUUGGGCAGGAUUCCUUUAGCAGCACUGGGGAAGGCCACUGGCAGAUCCCUGCAACCAUCAGAUGACCCAGUGACAGCCAGUGCCACAUAGGAAGACAGCCACGCUCCUCUUCCCGACUGCUUCCCGCGGGAUCUGAGAGUGGCUGUGGGCACAGCUCUGCCAGAACCUUCUAGCGCAAGCUGGAAGGGUUUCUUAUAGCCCUGCUCACUGUGAGGGCCUAGGGCAUCCUGGCCUGUGACCCUGGACACGUCACAUCCCCUCUCCGAGCCUUGAUGUCCUCACUUCUUUAAGCACGUGGCACCUGCCCCAUUUUGGUGCUAGGACAUAAAUGUCCAGUUAUGUCCAGUACACUACCAGGCAUAAGUGAUGGCCAAUCAAUCUCUCUCUCUCUCCAGGGUUAUCACUGGGUUUCAGUGCCAUCACUAUAAAUCCACUGCUCCUGGUGACCAUUUUCCCCCUUCUGUUUUAUUCAAUAGAAUAGAGAGAGAUUGAGAGGGUAAGGGGAGACAGAGAGGGAGCGAAAGACAUGUGCAGACCUGCUUCACUACUCGUGAAACAUCCCCACUGCAAGUGGGGAGCAGGGGCUUGAACCUGGGUCUUUCUGCAUAGGACUAUGUGAGCUUAAUGAGGUGCACCAUCACCGGACCUCCAACUGGCUUCUCUCUAUCACGCAUCUCACCCUCUACAGCCAAGGCCUAGAGAGCCUGACUUUGCUCUAGAAGUUCUCUCUGAUGAUAGUUUUUCUAAAAUUUAUUUAUUUAGAUUUUUGAUUUAUUCCCCUU